UUUUAUAAACACAUGUAAACUUUGCGAUAGAAACCUUCAAUCCUGCUAAAAGUUAGUGCAAUAGUUCUUUUUCUUAGAGAUUAGAAGGCGAAAUGCCUUAUAGAUGCGUAGCAGGAGGCUGUUCAAACUUUCCAGAUUCUGAAAGAAAUAUAGGUUUACAUCAAUUUCCUGAAGAAAAUGAUAGAAAAAGAAGAAGGCAGUGGGUAAGCUUCGUGCGAACAAAACGUGCCAAAUGGUCACCUACCAAAAACUCUCGGUUGUGUUCUGAACACUUCAGAGAGGACGAAUUCGAGCAUCAUUUUGUCCAUAUAAUCGGAACUCCGUUUGGAAACAAGAGAGUUCUAAAGAAAGACGCAUUUCCAACAAUUCACAAGGAAUUGGAAGAGAAGCCGAAGGAAGGAGAGAAACAACAACAACCUCUAACAAAUGCAAAAAGGUCUUCGCGUGAGCAUCGCCGGGUUGUAAGGGACUUAUUAAAAGACCAACCCAUUCUCCCUUCCGCGAGUACCACAGGAGAAUCAGUGAGAGGCGAAUCAGGAUCGGAAGCGCUAGUAGACCUUGUAGAAGAAGUUCCGUUACUGAGCGAUCCGAUAGAUUCAGAACCUGUUGCUCAAGCUCAGAAAAACCUCCAACUCACACGAGAUGACUGCACUCAAACACCUGAAUGUCUGGGCUGCAAAAAACGUUUGAGCCAGAAACGCCAGCUGCGCAACAAAGUGAUAGACGUGGAAAAUAAAUGGAAAAAACGCCUUCAAAAAUGUGAAGAAGAGGCCAGUGUUUUGGAGACACCUGAAACGACUAACAACGAAGAUUAUGCAAACGUAGAAGAGAGUGAUGAAGAAGAGGAAGAAGUCAUAGAAGAGGAGCCACCUCUUUCAGAAAUGUCAUCACCUGAAUAUAAGAUGUUCUCUGAUACAGAAACAGAGACAGAGACAGAAGAUGAGAGUGAUGAUGAAAAACCAAAGAAGAAUUUUCUGAUAGUAACCAUAAAAUUUCAGGGUUACCUACUGACUUGUUUCCACUUUGCACAACACAUAUUGUUAGAUUUACAUUACAGUAAUAAUGUUUGCUAAUAAACUGCUCAUAUAUUCAUUUCAGUGCCAAUUCCCACAGUGAAAAUCUUAGACACCAACCAAAGUUUAUCGUCUUUUUAUCAAAACUCCUCCUUUUGUUCAACAUCUGUCCAUCCUGCAAAUCUGAUAAGCCUUCAAUAGAGACGUCAGUUUGUGGCACAAUGAUUGAAAUAACAACUCAGUGUUUCAACCCUCAGUGUCAAUCUCCCACGAAUACAUGGCGGAGCCAACCAAACAUGACAGGAACCAAAAUGCCAGCCAUGAACUUUCUGUUGUGCUUUUCCAUUUUGAUUUCUGGUGCAUCGCCCUCUAAAGUAUUCCAAGUAUUUAAGAACAUGGGAGUCCACUGUAUAAGUCUAGAAACAUACUUCAAGCAUCAGGCGUAUCAAGAGGAAAUGAUGGUGAAGAUCAAAGGAACUGGUCAGUCUCUGGUAUUAGCUGGCGAUGGGCGUCAUGAUUCUAUGGGCCACAGUGCCAAAUAUUGUGCCUACACAAUAUUUUGCUGUACUAUACCACUCAUCAUUGAGUUUUCCUUAGUGCAG
rnacentral:misc_RNA from 1 species